UUAUAUACUUGCAAAUAGAGAUAUAUAUAUAUUGAUGAAACAAAAAAGAAUCUGACGCCAUGCGAAAAGAGCGGGAAAGUUAUGUUAACGGGAAGGGAAAUGAUUAAAAGUUUUAAUGGGGAAAUCAACACUCAUAGCUGCUAACUCUUGAGCAGAUGUAUUUGGAUCUUUUAAUGGAAGGCACAUAACUAAAAAUUUAUCAACAUGUAAAAGUGCACGUACAUUAUGUUCUUGUUGUACAACAACUGAAAUUGAGCGUUGUUCUUGAGGUAAUAAAAUUCCUGAACUUGGUCGUACUCUAAACUUUCCAGGUGAUGUGGUUUUUACCUAAAUGAUAUAAUAAUUAAAAAUUUAGAUUAUGUCCUAUAUUUCUUAAAUUUUCUUAUAAAAUAAAGAUACAUCAUACUUUAUAAGAUAAAGGUUUAUCACUAGUCACAUUUUUAAGUAAAAUUGAUCCACCAAUUUCAUUUCCUGAUUUGUUAAAAAUAACUGCAUCUGGUUCAAUAGAUAAUACUACAAAAGAAUAGUAAUUUUAUUGUUAAUAUAAGAAUAAAAAUAAAAUUAUUUUUAUUUAAAUAGUAUUUGUAAUAAAAUAUAAAAUUUAAUUUA